ensembl:lncRNA
AUUGAUUUGUGUCAAAUGUUUAGGUAUAUCAACAUUCUUUAAAAAGUGCUUCUCUUGUGGAAUGAUAUACCGAUAUCAAGAGUGGGCUGAUGGUGUACACAAUUAUGAUGACCACAUCAUUCUUAGCCUUCACUUCUGUCUGUACAUAAGGGCAUCUCUCCAGGUUAGGUGACUGUAUAGUCCUUGCUUUUUGCAAUACAAAAGCAUUUCUGGAUAUUUCACUUUAUGUGAAUAAGUAGAACAAUUUUCUUAACAUAAUUAUCUUUGACAUUAUCAUUUUAUAGACUCACAUCACAGCAGGAAGAGUUUUUGAAGCCAUGGAACUGUCAUUGGGUGUGAAACUACCUCCACACAGCCGUAUACUGCAGGGAUACAUGCAUUUUGAAGCUUUGACAGACCAUCAAUACAUAUAUUCAUGUGUAAAAUGUGGCUCCAAUCCAGCCAUUGUUGUCAUGGAUCUGCAUAAGAAAGGAGUGUUCAGCCUGCCAGGUGAGGAAAAUGUUUUAAAAUUAAUUUUAGGUGUUACUGAUUUUUUUUAUAUAUAUAUCAUAGUAUAUUUAUCUAUUUGCUUCAACUGUCUUUCACAGUUAGUGAAAUCCCUGAUCCAUCAGAUUACACUGGUAUAGUGGACAUGGAAGAAUUUUGGACUUCACUCUCUUCAGAAAUCAUUUCUGAUGGACUUAUGGAAACCUUCAAUCAGGAAACAAAGCCAUUCGUUGUACAACCUGACUACAAUAAAUGGUCACCCUGGAUUGGGCCACAAACCAGGAAAUCAAAUUUGGUCUACAACACAGAGUGGGAGAAAGUACACAAAAAACUAACAUCAUCUGAGAAGGUCAAUGUAGAAAUACCUGAAGAUAGACUUCUGGAACAAGUGAUGGCAAUGAAGGUAAACUUCACCAUCCUUUUCACAUUUAUUCCUCCAAAAUCUAUUUAUUCUUAGUCUUUAAAUACAUAUACAAUUUUAAUCUUGGUGUGUUUGCUGUUUGACAGGUGGGAGAGGUGAAAAAACUAUGCAAAUCUUGUGGCAUGGACUCUUCAGGAUCCAAAAUGGAUCUCAUUCUGCAGCUUCGCACAGAAAUAAAGAACCGUAGCAGCUAUGACA